ensembl:lncRNA
GGAGCUGGGACUUUAAAAUAACCGCCGUCUCGUUACAGAGUGAAGUAGCAGUCCCUCCUCAAGGUCAGAGAUUGCAGCAUCUGAGGGCCUCUUCAAAAGAAGACGUAGUUGAUGAAGGCAUUCUGGAGCAGGACCAGAAAGACCACGACCAAGCAGCCUUGAGAUCUUAAGCAGCGUCUCCCUGAGUCAAAGGUCCCUCUCUGUCUCCCCACACAUCCACCAACCACUGGAACACAUCUCCAAAGUUCUGCCGGGCCAGAUCAGCUUCCCCUCAGAAGAAGUGGCGCCACCUGCCAGAUGAAGGAGCCUUUUGAGAGGCAGCCGGCAUCGUGAUUGGACUAUACUUUGGUCUGUUCCAAUCCAGCUUCAGCUCCAGAGACGGCAGGCGGGACGAGUCAACAGAGGCCGGGUGGACAAAGACCAAAGAACUACAGACUCUUCACAACCUGCUCAAACACUUGGUACAGGACCUCACCACACGGGUCAAG